CCUACGGGAGGCAGCAGUGAGGAAUAUUGGUCAAUGGGCGAGAGCCUGAACCAGCCAAGUCGCGUGAGGGAAGACGGUCCUAUGGAUUGUAAACCUCUUUUGCCGGGGAGCAAAAAGCGGUACGUGUACCGCAUCGAGAGUACCCGGAGAAAAAGCAUCGGCUAACUCCGUGCCAGCAGCCGCGGUAAUACGGAGGAUGCGAGCGUUAUCCGGAUUUAUUGGGUUUAAAGGGUGCGCAGGCGGCGAGUUAAGUCAGCGGUAAAAUUUCGGGGCUCAACCCCGACGAGCCGUUGAAACUGGCGUGCUAGAGUGGGCGAGAAGUAUGCGGAAUGCGUGGUGUAGCGGUGAAAUGCAUAGAUAUCACGCAGAACUCCGAUUGCGAAGGCAGCAUACCGGCGCCCAACUGACGCUCAGGCACGAAAGCGUGGGUAUCGAACAGGAUUAGAUACCCUUGUAGC
rnacentral:rRNA from 1 species